CCGAGUCUUAAUUGGGCGUUAAGUUGCAGGGUAUAGACCCGAAACCCGGUGAUCUAGCCAUGGGCAGGUUGAAGGUUGGGUAACACUAACUGGAGGACCGAACCGACUAAUGUUGAAAAAUUAGCGGAUGACCUGUGGCUGGGGGUGAAAGGCCAAUCAAACCGGGAGAUAGCUGGUUCUCCCCGAAAGCUAUUUAGGUAGCGCCUCGUGAAUUCAUCUCCGGGGGUAGAGCACUGUUUCGGCUAGGGGGCCAUCCCGGCUUACCAACCCGAUGCAAACUGCGAAUACCGGAGAAUGUUAUCACGGGAGACACACGGCGGGUGCUAACGUCCGUCGUGAAGAGGGAAACAACCCAGACCGCCAGCUAAGGUCCCAAAGUCAUGGUUAAGUGGGAAACGAUGUGGGAAGGCCCAGACAGCCAGGAUGUUGGCUUAGAAGCAGCCAUCAUUUAAAGAAAGCGUAAUAGCUCACUGGUCGAGUCGGCCUGCGCGGAAGAUGUAACGGGGCUAAACCAUGCACCGAAGCUGCGGCAGCGAACGUAUCACUUAAAGCGAUUCAGCGGGUUACGAUUGACGGAGCGAAGCGACGUCAAAGCGUAUACAAAGUCGAGUCGGUUUAAGGAUACGUUCGUUGGGUAGGGGAGCGUUCUGUAAGCCUGUGAAGGUGUGUCGUGAGGCAUGCUGGAGGUAUCAGAAGUGCGAAUGCUGACAUAAGUAACGAUAAAGCGGGUGAAAAGCCCGCUCGCCGGAAGACCAAGGGUUCCUGUCCAACGUUAAUCGGGGCAGGGUGAGUCGACCCCUAAGGCGAGGCCGAAAGGCGUAGUCGAUGGGAAACGGGUUAAUAUUCCCGUACUUGGUGUUACUGCGAAGGGGGGACGGAGAAGGCUAUGUUGGCCGGGCGACGGUU
rnacentral:rRNA from 1 species